UUCAGGGUGUUGAGUUGAGAACCUUGUGGGUACGGGGGAGAUUUUCUUAGGGGCUUUUCAGGAAUCAGGAGCCCCUGAUAGGAGAGCGGGAAAAGCCCCGCUGAUCUAGAUCAGUUGGUUGCCCUCUUUGGAAGGGUAAGUUUUUGGUAGGGACAGUUAGGUUUUUGUGGGGAUUGUCCCUAGAUUUCAUUUUUGGGAUGUAUAUACUGUGAGAUAGUAAUUGUAGUGACUCUGGUAUGUGUUAUGCAC